rnacentral:rRNA from 1 species
GACGAACGCUGGCGGCGUGCCUAAUACAUGCAAGUCGAGCGAAUCUUUUGGGAGCUUGCUCCCUUAAGAUUAGCGGCGGACGGGUGAGUAACACGUGGGUAACCUGCCUGUAAGACUGGGAUAACUUCGGGAAACCGGAGCUAAUACCGGAUACUUUCUUUUCUCGCAUGAGGGAAGAUGGAAAGAUGGUUCUGCUAUCACUUACAGAUGGACCCGCGGCGCAUUAGCUAGUUGGUGAGGUAACGGCUCACCAAGGCAACGAUGCGUAGCCGGCCUGAGAGGGUGAUCGGCCACACUGGGACUGAGACACGGCCCAGACUCCUACGGGAGGCAGCAGUAGGGAAUCUUCCGCAAUGGACGAAAGUCUGACGGAGCAACGCCGCGUGAGCGAAGAAGGCCUUCGGGCCGUAAAGCUCUGUUGUUAGGGAAGAACAAGUACGAGAGUAACUGCUCGUACCUUGACGGUACCUAACCAGAAAGCCACGGCUAACUACGUGCCAGCCGCCGCAGUAAGAC